GAUGAACGCUGGCGGCGUGCCUAAUACAUGCAAGUCGAGCGAACAGACGAGGAGCUUGCUCCUCUGACGUUAGCGGCGGACGGGUGAGUAACACGUGGAUAACCUACCUAUAAGACUGGGAUAACUUCGGGAAACCGGAGCUAAUACCGGAUAAUAUAUUGAGCCGCAUGGUUCAAUAGUGAAAGACGGUUUUGCUGUCACUUAUAGAUGGAUCCGCGCCGCAUUAGCUAGUUGGUAAGGUAACGGCUUACCAAGGCAACGAUGCGUAGCCGACCUGAGAGGGUGAUCGGCCACACUGGAACUGAGACACGGUCCAGACUCCUACGGGAGGCAGCAGUAGGGAAUCUUCCGCAAUGGGCGAAAGCCUUACGGAGCAACGCCGCGUGAGUGAUGAAGGUCUUCGGAUCGUAAAACUCUGUUAUUAGGGAAGAACAAAUGUGUAAGUAACUAUGCACGUCUUGACGGUACCUAAUCAGAAAGCCACGGCUAACUACGUG
rnacentral:rRNA from 1 species